UGUUGUAAGUUACAAAAUGUGCAAAAAGCUAAGUUUGGGGUGGUAAUCUUUAAAGAAAGGGCGAGUGCAUAAGAAGAGAUCUAAAAGUAAUGCAAAAAGAAGAGACGUGUGUAUGUCCUAAUAAAAAAAAGAGAAAGAAAAGAAAAAAAAAAAAAAGAGAAAUGCACUUGCCGAGACUUAAGACUCUAACACCUGUAAAAUGCUCACAGAGAAUUGAGUUAAAAAGAGUCAAAAGUGAAUAAACCCCCAGAGUUAUGAGUUAAGCACGAAAAAAAAGAGAAAAUCAAACAACAUGAAUGCCGAGUUCAAAACCAUUUGUUAUCCAUUUCUGUGUCUAUCCUACCGUACCCAAGCCCCGUUACAACCGAAAAGACCUCAUAAAGUGUGUGGAAUCUGUUGUUGUAGUGAAAUUAGAAUUUAUUCAAAUUUAAGAGUUUGGUAUUGCAUGUUGUGCUGUGAGUGUAAACACCCUAACCAUGAGAGAUGUUGUGAGUAUGUGAAAAAGCUUGCAGGUAACGAGGCCUCUGAUGUGGAAAUGUGGUGAACAGUUUGAGUCGGGAAAACCGGAAACUUGAUUGGAAAGGAAGAACACAAGUUGUGAAGGACAAGGUUGCAUUGUGGAAAGUGAAUUCGUGGGUGACCUUUGUUUGGACUCAAUACAUCACUUGAGGACAAGCAAUUAGACAAGUUUGGGGUUGUGAUCGGUCACCAUUUCCAUUGAAUUCCCACCUUUUAUCCGGCAUAUUUUCAUCACUUUGGUAAGAUUUGUGGUUGUUUUUAGUUGUUUUAAAGUCAUUUAACAUGUUUCGUUAGUUUAUUAUUGCAUUGCAUUUUGUUACAUGUUUGUGUCAAAAAGUCUCUUUUAUGCUUCGAUUUGGUAGUGUUAGUGUUGCAGGUUGUUGCAUAGGUUCAAAAGGACUAAUAGCUGAGUGUUGGAUGCUC
rnacentral:lncRNA from 1 species